rnacentral:tRNA from 1 species
GCCGAGGUGGCGGAACGGUAGACGCAGCGGACUCAAAAUCCGCCGUGGGCGACCACGUGGGGGUUCAAGUCCCCCCCUCGGCACCA